UACGAAGGGGGCUAGCGUUGUUCGGAAUCACUGGGCGUAAAGCGCACGUAGGCGGAUGAUUAAGUCGGGGGUGAAAGCCUGUGGCUCAACCACAGAAUGGCCUUCGAUACUGAGACGCUUGAGUAUGGUAGAGGUUGGUGGAACUGCGAGUGUAGAGGUGAAAUUCGUAGAUAUUCGCAAGAACACCGGUGGCGAAGGCGGCCAACUGGACCAUUACUGACGCUGAGGCGCGAAAGCGUGGGGAGCAAACAGG
rnacentral:rRNA from 1 species